rnacentral:rRNA from 13 species
GUCUACUGGCCCCACCCCCAACCCUGGGUACUCCCGAUCUCGGAAGCAAAGCAGGGUCGGGCUCAGGCAACUACUUGGAUGGGAGACCUCCUGGGAACACCGAGUGCUGUAGACU